AUUGAACGCUGGCGGCAUGCCUUACACAUGCAAGUCGAACGGCAGCACGGGAGCAAUCCUGGUGGCGAGUGGCGAACGGGUGAGUAAGGUAUCGGAACGUGCCCAGUCGUGGGGGACAACGUAGCGAAAGUUACGCUAAUACCGCAUACGAUCUAUGGAUGAAAGCGGGGGAUCGCAAGACCUCGCGCGAUUGGAGCGGCCGAUAUCAGAUUAGGUAGUUGGUGGGGUAAAGGCUCACCAAGCCGACGAUCUGUAGCUGGUCUGAGAGGACGACCAGCCACACUGGGACUGAGACACGGCCCAGACUCCUACGGGAGGCAGCAGUGGGGAAUUUUGGACAAUGGGCGAAAGCCUGAUCCAGCCAUGCCGCGUGCAGGAUGAAGGCCUUCGGGUUGUAAACUGCUUUUGUACGGAACGAAAAGGUUUGGCCUAAUAAGCUGAGCUCAUGACGGUACCGUAAGAAUAAGCACCGGCUAACUACGUGCCAGCCGCCGCAGUAA
rnacentral:rRNA from 1 species